CCCUUAGAUGUCCUGGGCCGCACGCGUGCUACACUGAUGCAUACAGCGAGCACUUCCCGGCCCCGAAAGGCGGCUGGUAAUCAGCAAUAUGCAUCGUGAUGGGGAUAGAUCUUUGGAAUUCUUGAUCUUGAACGAGGAAUUCCUAGUAAGCGCGAGUCAUCAGCUCGCGCUGAUUACGUCCCUGCCCUUUGUACACACCGCCCGUCGCUACUACCGAUUGGAUGGUUUAGCGAGAUGUUUGGAUCGGAGCCCGGGUGGUCAGCAAUGGUCGCCCGGGACCUCUGAGAAACUCAUCCAGCCCGGUCAUCUAGAGGAAGUAAAAGUCGUAACA
rnacentral:rRNA from 1 species